GAUGAACGCUGGCGGCGUGCCUAAUACAUGCAAGUCGAGCGAACAGACGAGGAGCUUGCUCCUCUACGUUAGCGGCGGACGGGUGAGUAACACGUGGAUAACCUACCUAUAAGACUGGGAUAACUUCGGGAAACCGGAGCUAAUACCGGAUAAUAUAUUGAACCGCAUGGUUCAAUAGUGAAAGACGGUUUUGCUGUCACUUAUAGAUGGAUCCGCGCCGCAUUAGCUAGUUGGUAAGGUAACGGCUUACCAAGGCAACGAUGCGUAGCCGACCUGAGAGGGUGAUCGGCCACACUGGAACUGAGACACGGUCCAGACUCCUACGGGAGGCAGCAGUAGGGAAUCUUCCGCAAUGGGCGAAAGCCUGACGGAGCAACGCCGCGUGAGUGAUGAAGGUCUUCGGAUCGUAAAACUCUGUUAUUAGGGAAGAACAAAUGUGUAAGUAACUAUGCACGUCUUGACGGUACCUAAUCAGAAAGCCACGGCUAACUACGUG
rnacentral:rRNA from 1 species